rnacentral:rRNA from 1 species
UACGUAGGGGGCAAGCGUUGUCCGGAUUUAUUGGGCGUAAAGAGCGUGUAGGCGGCCAGAUAGGUCGGUUGUGAAAACUGGAGGCUACAACCUCCAGACGUCGACCGAAACCAUCUGGCUAGAGUCCGGAAGAGGAGAGUGGAAUUCCUGGUGUAGCGGUGAAAUGCGCAGAUAUCAGGAAGAACACCCGUGGCGAAGGCGGUCUGCUGGGCCGUUGCUGACGCUGAGGCGCGACAGCGUGGGGAGCAAACAGG